AUGCUCGCUUUGGCAGCACAUACACUAAAAUUGGGAAAAUAGAAGAUUAGCAUGGCCCCUUUACAAGGAUGACACACAAAUUCGAGAAAAUUAUCUUCUUUUC